rnacentral:rRNA from 1 species
UACAGAGGGUGCGAGCGUUAAUCGGAGUUACUGGGCGUAAAGGGCGCGUAGGCGGUAGUAUGGGUGUGAUGUGAAAGCCCUGGGCUUAACCUAGGAAGUGCAUCGCAAACUAUACAACUGGAGUACAAGAGAGGGUGGCGGAAUUUCCGGUGUAGCGGUGAAAUGCGUAGAUAUCAAGUGGAACACCAGUGGCGAAGGCGAGUCCCUGGACAAUACCUGACACUGAGGCACGAAAGCUAGGGGAGCAAACAGG